GGUUGAUCCUGCCAGUGGAAUAUGCUUGUUUCAAAGAUUAAGCCAUGCAUGUCUAAGCAUGCGUUGAAUUUAAAUGAAGCCGCGAAUAGCUCAUUAUAACAGCCGUUGUUUCUUGGAUCUUCUCUCUACUUGGAUAACUGUGGUAAUUCUAGAGCUAAUACAUGCCUUGUAGCUCUGAUCGUAAGUGAUGAGCGCAUUUAUUAGAUCAAGACCAUCCGGCUUCGGCCGUGUUUUGAUGACUCUGAAUAAUCCAGCAGAGCACAUGGGCUCGUCCCGGUGCCAAAUCUUUCAAGUGUCUGCUCUAUCAACUUUCGAUGGUAGUUUAUGUGACUACCAUGGUUGUGACGGGUAACGGAGGAUUAGGGUCUGACUCCGGAGAGGGAGCCUGAGAAACGGCUACCACUUCUAAGGAAGGCAGCAGGCGCGCAAAUUACCCAUUCUCAGUACGAGGAGGUAGUGACGAAAAAUACCAAGGUGAGGCCCUAUGGGUUUCGCCAUUGGAAUGAGAACAAUAUAAAUCUUUUAACGAGUAACAAGUGUAGGGCAAGUCUGGUGCCAGCAGCCGCGGUAAUUCCAGCUCCACAAGUGUAUUCCUAUAUUGUUGCGGUUAAAAAGCUCGUAGUUGGAUCUGAGUGCUUAGCGGGUGGUACAGUGUUUCACUGUCACUGCUUCGCGGCACGUAACCGUCGACUGGCUGCUGUUGUUGCCUUCACCGGUGACGGCAGUUAGCUAUCGACAUGUUUACUUUGAACAAAUCAGAGUGCUCAAAACAGGCGUUUCGCUUGUAUGUUUUUGCAUGGAAUAAUAGAAUAGGACCUUGGGUCUAUUUUGUUGGUUUUCGGAAUCAAGGUAAUGAUUAAGAGGGACAGACGGGGGCAUUCGUACUGCAACGGGAGAGGUGAAAUUCUUGGAUCGUUGCAAGACGAACUACUGCGAAAGCAUUUGCCAAGAAUGUUUUCAUUAAUCAAGAACGAAAGUAACGGGUUCGAAGGCGAUCAGAUACCGCCCUAGUCGUUACCGUAAACGAUUGUAACCGGGAGCUAGCAGGCGCUUUACUAUGGCUCUGCUAGAACCCACCCGGAAACGAAGAGUUUUCGAUAUCCGGGGGAAGUAUACUUGCAAAUGUGAAACUUAAAGGAAUUGACGGAAGGGCACCACCAGGGGUGGAGCCUGCGGCUUAAUUUGACCCAACACGGGGAAACUCAUCCGGUCCGGACACCGUAAGGAUUGACAGAUUGGGAGCUCUUUCUUGAUUUGGUGGGCAGUGGUGCAUGGCCGUUCUUAGUUGGUGGAGUGAUUUGUCUGGUUUAUCCCGAUAACGAACGAGACUCUAGCCUACUAACUAGUUAUGCGAUCUUCUUGUCGUAUUAACUUCUUAGAGGGACAAGCGGUGCUCAGCCGCAUG
rnacentral:rRNA from 1 species